AGCAGCCGCGGUAAUUCCAGCUCCAAUAGCGUAUAUUAAAGUUGUUGCAGUUAAAAAGCUCGUAGUUGAAUUUCGGGACCAAUCUGCCGGUCGUGCCUCCGGUACGCACUGGUUUUAUUGGUUUCUCCCUUCUGACGAACCAUGAUGUCAUUAAUUUGGUGUCAUGGGGAAUCAGGACUGUUACUUUGAAAAAAUUAGAGUGUUUAUAGCAGGCUCACGCUUGAAUACAUUAGCAUGGAAUAAUGAAAUAGGACGUUUGACCCUAUUUUGUUGGUUUCUAGGAUCGACGUAAUGAUUAAUAGGGAUAGUUGGGGGCAUUAGUAUUCAAUUGUCAGAGGUGAAAUUCUUGGAUUUAUUGAAGACUAACUACUGCGAAAGCAUUUGCCAAGGAUGUUUUCAUUAAUCAAGAACGAAAGUUAGGGGAUCGAAGACGAUCAGAUACCGUCGUAGUCUUAACCAUAAACUAUGCCGACUAGGGAUCGGAUGAUGUAAUUUUUAAUGACUCAUUCGGCGCCUUAAC
rnacentral:rRNA from 1 species